rnacentral:lncRNA from 1 species
UGAGAAAGUUGAGAAGCUGCUGUUUUUGCUGCUGGAAGAAAAAAGUCCUGCUUUGAGGCUUUGCCUGGGAGAAAGCAGGGAGACUGGCUGCAUACUGUGUGCUGCAAAGAGCCACUGGAGGCCUCUCCGUUGAAGCUGGCUGGUACGCGUGAGUACUUCAAAGCCCCAAUGGGAGCACUGGGGGAGGAGAUGGCUGAGCUCCAGGACUUUUAUGAUGUCCCGUUUGAAAAGCUCACAACCCAGUCCUGGGAUAUCUGGGUUAGAAGAGUAAGGGGGUGGUUUUUGGCCACAGGGCUCUGGAGUAUAGCCCAGAAGGAGCCGGCCCCACCCAUGCCAGUUGCUGCUGAAGAUGGCGCAGCAGACCUGGAGGCUGUUUUGCUGGAAGAUAGAGAGCAGAGAAUGCAAAGAGAGCUCUGCAUGUUGAGAGCAAGCGUGGACGCUAUGCUGUUGCCCCACCUGGAGGGUGUUGAGUCGGCUCAGGCCGCCUGGCAGGUGCUGAGGAGUCUAUGUGAAAGCUCAGCAGGAGCCCAGGGCCGGGAGGAAGCCGAGAGCAGGGAGGAAGCCGAGAGCCCAGAGGGGGCUGCUGGCCAUGUUCCUGAAGUUACAGCUGGGAGUAGCUGCUUUGUUUCCGAGGGGCCGUGUGAUGUAGAGGCCCGCGACCAGAGUGCUGGGGAGCAUGCAGGCCCAGGCUGUGCACCCAAAGGUGGGGGUGCUGGGAACAAAGGAAUGGCUGAAGAGGGAGCUGUGAGAGCUGUUGCUACGCGUCGCCACUGUUAUCGCUGUGGCUCCCCCUCCCAUCUGGUGAGAGAACGUCCUGUGGAGGCACAGGAACAGCCGAAGGCCGUCUCCCGUAGCAACCAGAUAAAGGGCCCUUCUUCAAAGCGUGGGAAAGGCAAGCCAAAGGCAGCUGGCAGAGACACUGAACAUAAACAUUUGGCAGCCUCUAUGGCUGCAGUCAAGAGUUGUCAACAGGAUGCUGUGCUGGCUUUUGUCAUAGACUCAGGUGCUUCCCAUCACCUAGUGCCAUCUGCAGGAUUCCUGGAGAACUGCACCUCUGUAACUUCUGGGAAGACUGUCAGUUUAGCAGAUGGGAUUCGACACCCACUCAUGCAGACUGGCUCACUGUUUUGUUCUUUCUUACAGGAUUCAAUCCAGGCUUUUGUUGUUCCAGGACUGUCCUGCGUGUUGCUGUCUGUUAGUGCACUUCUUGCUGAGAACUACAGAGUGUGUUUUGAAAACAGUAAGUGUUUUAUUUCUAAGAACGGACAGCACCUAGUCAGUGUUGAAUGUAAAGACAGGUUGUUUGUGAUAAAUGCUUCUUUUGCAGGUCCAGGUGACACGGAGGAGGCUCAAGCACAGUGUGCCAACGUUCCAGUUCAUGAUUCGUGUGCUCACCUCUGGCACCGACGCAUGGCACACGUGUCCUGGGGGUCAGUGAUGAAGAUCCCAGAGUGUACGCAAGGGUGCAAAAUGAAAUCGUGCUAAGUUUCUCGAUUGCAGAGCGUGCAAGUCUGCAAAGGUGAAAAUGUGCACAUACCCAAGGUCUGAGAGGGUGACCACUAGGGCUUUUCAGUUAAUUCAUGCAGAUUUGUCUGGUCCGAUGUCUGUGAGCAGUAUGGGCGGAGCCAAAUAUGCGCUGGUUCUGAUUGAUGACCAUACGCGGAACUCCUGGACCUUCACGCUCCGACACAAAAAUGAAGCUGCGCCGCUAAUCGAAGACUGGAUUGCGGCUGUGGAACUGCAGUUUUCCACACGGGUGCAAAACUUUCAGAGCGAUCGCGGUGGGGAGUUCACCGGGUCUGCACUGCAAAGUUUCUUCCGCAAAAAGGGGAUUCAACACAGGUUGACUUCUCCACACAGUCCCCAACAGAAUGGGAUCACGGAACGCAGUAACAGGACGCUAGGGGAGAUGUCCGCAGCUCUUUUGUUUGAUGCCGGGCUCCCACAGCGCUUUUGGGGGGAGGCUUGGCGAACGGCCAACUUCAUUCUGAACAGGUCGUUCAAUUCAGUGGUAGGUGACACACCGUAUUUCUUGCUGCACGGAAAGAAACCGAAAGUGCACUACUUCCGCGUUUUUGGCUGUGAGGCUUGGGUCCUCAUACCAAAGGCCAAAUGCAAGAAAGGUGAACCCAAGUCCGUAUGAUUUUUUGUGGGUAUGAGCCAGAGACCAAGGGGUGGAGGUUUGCGUAUCCGUCAGGGAAUCAGUCCAGGAUUCUGCUCAGCAACAGUGCUGAAUUCUGUGAGCAGAGUGGCUGGGCAAGGAUACAUGGGAACCCUGACAUCCUGUCAGAGAGUCUGCUUGACUCUGCCGAUGAAGGAGAGGAAGAGGUUGAACCUGCUACUGAGGCUCAGAGUCCAGACCCAGUGCAGGCAGAGGGGAGAACUUCUCCCAAGGCUGUGAAGAUCGAGCAACGCAGUGCUCCAUCUUCCCCCACAGGUUCGGCUGAGAAGUCCAGAAGGCGCAGUAAGUCAGAGGGGGAGCUCUCUGAUGCCAAGGACGUUCUGGCUGGCCCCAGUGGGCCAGAGGGGGUUCCUGUAGUGCUGCGUCGGUCAACUUGGACGACCAAGGGGAAACCUCCUGAAAGGUUUACCGUCACUAGCGUGUGGGUCGGAAUGGCACAGUGUGAACCCGAGAGUUUUGAGGAUGUUCAGAAACUGCCUCAGGAAGAAGCCAGAAAAUGGCAUGAGGCGAUGCAGACGGAGAUGAGCUCAAUGGAGUCUCUAGGUGUGUUCUCCCUCACGAAGUUGCCGGUGGGUGAACAGACAGUGGGUAGCCGCUGGGUUUACCAUCUUAAGCCCACAGUGACAGGAGAACCGCAGUAUAAGGCCAGAUUAGUGGCGAGAGGAUUCACGCAGCGCAGGGGGUUGCAUUAUACGGAAGUUUAUGCUCCCACCUCUAGGAGUGAAUCUCUACGCUUGGUCUUGGCCGUAGCUGCACAAAGAGGUUUGCUGGUGCAUCAUUUUGAUGUGGAUGUUGCUUACUUGAACUCAGACCUCCAGGAGGAUUUGUACAUGCUUCCUCCUUCAGGGUUUGAGGGCAAUGAGCAAGGUACUGUGUGGAAACUUCACAAGUCAAUUUACGGCCUGAAGCAAUCGGCCAGGAAUUGGAACUUGUGCCUGAAUGAAGCUUUGGAGAAGCUAGGUUUCAGGAAGAGUCUUGCUGACAGUUGCCUGUUCCUUAGAGGAUCAGGAGACUCACAGGAACUGGUGUUAUUUUACGUUGAUGACAUCAUCCAUGUUGGAAAGGCAGACAAACAGGUGCAGAAGUUUGCCAAAGAGCUUGGGAAACGGUUUCAGCUCAAGGACCUGGGUGCAGUAAAGAUCUACCUAGGCGUCCAGAUAGCGAGAACUGAGGAUGGUAGCUUCUUGCUCAGUCAGAAAGGCAAGAUUGAGCAGUUGCUUGAGAAGUUCAGAAUGUCCGAUUGUGCAGGAGUUCGGACACCCAUGGAGACGAACUUCGUGAAAGAUAGCCAGCAAGCAGAAAGUGCUGAGUUUGAGAAUGCUGAGCUCUUUCAGUCAAGUCUAGGUAGUCUGUUGUAUCUGUCCCAAUGGAGCAGACCAGACAUUGCCUUUGCUACCAACCUGCUAAGUAGGGAAGCGUCAAAGCCCAGUGUGAGUGCUUGGCACGGUAUCAAGCGGGUACUGCGCUACCUGCAGCAUACCAAAGACUUCUGUCUUAAGCUGCCAGCUGAAGGUGAGGCGAAGCUCACAUGCUAUGCGGACAGUGACUGGGCAAAUUCGCAGGACCGCAAGUCUGUGUCUGGGUUGGUGGUAAAAUUUGGGAAGUCACUAGUUGGGUGGAAGUCCCGGAAGCAAAGUCUCAUUGCGCUGUCUACUACUGAGGCUGAAUUCAGUGCACUGUCAGAUUUGUGCCGGGAACUAGAGUUCUAUAGAUGCUUGGUGCAAGAGAUCUAUGGGGAUUGUAGCUUGCCCAUCACGGUUUGGGAGGACAAUCAACCUUGUUUGAAAUUGGCUGAAUCUGCGCAAUUUAAGGCCAGAACCAAGCAUCUGGACAUACGUUUCCAAAAUGUGUGUCAGAGUGUUCAGUCAGGUUUAAUACGACUGAAGUACUGUGCCAGUCACAGUAACCUGGCCGAUGGAUUUACCAAACCUUUAAGCUUCCAGCGUCAUGGGGAGUUUUGUGGUGGUUUGGAGUUGGGGGUAAGUUCUGUACUUACUUUCCCCACAGUAGCGCAGAGCGAGAGGGGGUGUGAGGAGAACCUGAGCCUACAGGGUUAAACAGCUCAGAGUGUACGCCCUGCCUACUGUUGGGAGGGGGGAACUUCUGCAUCAUUUCCGAGAGCCUCAAGCCUUUGUUCUCUCUCUACUUUCGCUUUUGAGGAGAGUGGACGUGUUUUCACGAUGCUGUUCGCUGUGAUAGAUAAUGGAUAGUCUGCUGUAAGUAAAACUGCUUUUAGCUGCUAAGAUCCUGAGUGGACUUUAUUUAAGCACACUGAAGCAUGCACUGGAGUUUUUGCAGCUUUCUCUUGCCGCUGUUGAUCUCUGCUUUGCUCAGAGCAUCGGAAUGUGGACUUUGGAAUGCAGAGGCCUGGCCGGCAAGAGCUGUGCAGCCGAAGCGGGCCGGACGCCAGGCUUAUCUGAGCAAUAAAUCAAUCUGCUUCAGAUGCCAUGGCCAGAGGAGGAGAGAGGCCCCCCACCCUGAAUCCCCUGCAGGGCCCUGGGGGGCAGGCAGAUCUCUUGCUCUUGCCAUGGCAAAGCAUGUCUCAGUUUCCUUCCCCAAGGCUUUGGAUGAACCUUGGGGUGCAGAAGGAGGAACCCCAAAUGGAGCUCAGGCUCCUGGCAAGUGGGGAAAGGAACAUGAAAUGGCGCUUUCCAGAUGAGUCUCAAUACAAUACGAUAAUCUUUAUUGUCAUUGUCCCAUACAGAAUGAAAUUGAAAAAAUGUACAUCAGACAUUCAAAAACCAACAAGCCUGCUAUCCCAACCUGGUUAGCCCCCCUAAAAACUCUGAUACCCCAUAAUUAAAUACCAUAUACUCCCAUAGAGACUCCCUUACACUGCAUUUAAAACCAAAAUCGCAUUUGGAUAGAAACUGUUUCUCAGGCGGCUAGUCCUAGUCUUUAUAACCCUGUACCUUCUUCCAGAAGGCAGAAGAUGAAAGAGAUCAUUUCCGGGGUGCGCGCUAUCCUGCACUAUCUCUGCAGCUUUCUUAUGUAGCACCUUCUGCAAAUGCCUCCAGGGCCAUGAGUAGUAUGCAUGAAAACAUCAAUGCUAAAUUGAGCAGAUACCCAGAGGCGGCGCGGAUUAUUGCAGGGGACUUCACUCACACAGAUGUGAGGGAAGCACUCCCAAAAUCCCAUCAGCACACUGAGUGUGCAAUAAGGGGAGAAAAUACUCUUGAUAAGGUGUAUACGAACAUUAGACGGGCAUAUGAGGCGCACCUCGGUGGUUCAGAUCAUGUGUCCCUGCUUCUGACACCAGUGUACACGCCCCUCAGGAAACAAGGCCAGCUACAAACAUGGAUGGUUAUGGUGUGGCCUGAGGGAGCUUCUCAGCAGUUGCAGGACUGUUUCCAGGAGACCGAUUGGAAUAUGUUCGACCAUCAGGAUCUAGAAGAAGGAGCAAAAAGGGUUUUCUUUUGUGUGUGUGUGUGUGUGUGUGUUUCUUUGUGGCUGAUUAGCUGCUCUCCCUGUGCAAAGGUCAGAGGGGGCAGGGUUUCUGUUGAGUCAGGUGAUUAGCUGUGGGAGGAGCUUAUCAGAGCUUGCAGGGCAGUGGCGCGCGCCUGGCGGCGUGCGCAGUUUGAUCCAUCUUUUAGAUUUAGGGGAGCUAGUCUCAAACGUUUGUUGGGGGAGACCUAGGUUUUUUUUGUGGGGCAAGUUAUUUGUCCUGUCUUCACGCUUUUUAUGAUGGAGGACCGCUGUAGCCACCCCCAACGACACGUUCUCAAGAUGGAGGGGGAGGGAACAGCUGCAGUCGCCUGCCGUUCCUGCGCAAUGUUUGCCAUCUUGCCAAAGGUUGCAGGCAGCUUUACCUGCAGCAAUUGCAUGUUGAUUGCCCUCUUAAAAGACAAAGUCCAGCAACUGGAGGAACGUGUAGCUACGCUCCAAAGAAUUAGAGAGCUGGAGCUCUUCUUGGAAGCAACAGAGCACACCAUCUCCACCAAGGAGGAGACAGGGGACUCCCCUGAGAAGGAGGCUAGUUCACCAACACAGGAGCCAGAUAUAUGGAGAAACGUGACUCAAAGAAGUAGGAGGCCCAGGGUUCGCUCUGAUUGUUUAGAAAUACACAAUCGCUUUGAGGUCCUCUCCCCUAGCAUGGAAGACGAAGAGCAAACUCCAUUUGAGGGUCUGUCCCUCAUUACAGUCGAUCAGGUAUAUGAAGACGAGCAGCAAAGUCAGUCCUCAGGGAUUGUGCAGGCGACCUUGGAACGGACAGCUCACGGAAGAACCCCGACCAAACCUAAGAGGAGGCGUGUAGUGGUGAUAGGGGAUUCCCUACUGAGGGGAACAGAAGCAGUGAUUUGUGGGCCUGACAAGAUGUCUCGGGAAGUGUGCUGCCUCCCCGGGGCUAAGAUCCAAGAUGUAACUGAACGACUGCAAGGAAUCAUAAAACCCACUGACAAAUACCCCUUCCUCUUGGUUCAUGUGGGAACCAAUGACACUGCAAGCAAUAGCCUCCAGAAGAUCAAAAGAGACUACGAGGCUCUGGGCAGGAAAUUGAAGCAAUUAAAUGCACAAAUUGUCAUCUCUUUUUUUUUUAAAUGAUAUUUAUUAAAAUUUCAGAAACAAAAAAAUUACAGUU